rnacentral:ncRNA from 1 species
UACCUGGUUGAUUCUGCCAGUAGUCAUAUGCUUGUCUCAAAGAUUAAGCCAUGCAUGUCUAAGUAUAAGCAAUUAUACCGCGAAACUGCGAAUGGCUCAUUAUAUAAGUUAUCGUUUAUUUGAUAGUACCUUACUACUUGGAUAACCGUGGUAAUUCUAGAGCUAAUACAUGCUAAAAAUCCCGACUUCGGAAGGGAUGUAUUUAUUAGAUUAAAAACCAAUGCCCUUCGGGGCUCACUGGUGAUUCAUGAUAACUCCUCGAAUCGCAUGGCCUUGUGCCGGCGAUGGUUCAUUCAAAUUUCUUCCCUAUCAACUUUCGAUGUUUGGGUAUUGGCCAAACAUGGUUGCAACGGGUAACGGAGGGUUAGGGCUCGACCCCGGAGAAGGAGCCUGAGAAACGGCUACUACAUCCAAGGAAGGCAGCAGGCGCGCAAAUUACCCAAUCCCGACACGGGGAGGUAGUGACAAUAAAUACUGAUACAGGGCUCUUUUGGGUCUUGUAAUUGGAAUGAGUACAAUUUAAAUCCCUUAACGAGGAACAAUUGGAGGGCAAGUCUGGUGCCAGCAGCCGCGGUAAUUCCAGCUCCAAUAGCGUAUAUUAAAGUUGUUGUGGUUAAAAAGCUCGUAGUUGAACCUUGGGCCUGGCUGGCCGGUCCGCCUCACCGCGUGUACUGGUCCGGCCGGGCCUUUCCCUCUGUGGAACCCCAUGCCCUUCACUGGGUGUGGCGGGGAAACAGGAC